rnacentral:tRNA from 1 species
CCUGCGCCCGGCCCUUUAGCUCAGUGGUGAGAGCGAGCGACUCAUAAUCGCCAGGUCGCUGGUUCAAAUCCAGCAAGGGCCACCA